rnacentral:lncRNA from 1 species
GCCUGAAUGAGUGAAAGGUUGAUUAAAGGUGGCCUACAACCCUUAACCAGUUUUACUUUUGAUCAUGCUUAUGUAUUGGCUUAGAAUCAAAGUUGUUGUCUUUUGAUUGCAUAACUUUCGAAGUCUCUCCUCUUCAGUUUCCACUCAAACCUGGUAACCCCCAGUGAGAAGAAUAUAGUAUUGGAAAUCAGUUCUCUUGUUACUUCCAUAAACCAUGUGACCUGGUCAGUUACAGAAAUCUAUGCAGGGUUAUUACUUUGAAAUGUGUCCAAUGUCACAGAUUCCUAAGGGACUUGUAUCCAUUCAGUGUGUCUUUGUGUGUUUUUUUUUUUAAAGUAAGUGAUGCUUACCCAAAAAUUCACUAUUGAAGUACUUUAGCAAGUAUUUAUUUUUCAGAAACCCACUUGUGGGAAGUUUUCCUGUAUUUUUGGUAGUAAUUAGAGGGAUGAUUAUAUCAUUUAAU